rnacentral:rRNA from 1 species
AGGUGACUAUAGCAUCAGGGUUCCACCUCUUCCCAUUCCGAACAGAGAAGUUAAGCCUGAUCACGCCGAUGGUACUGCGUAAUAGUGGGAGAGUAGGU